rnacentral:rRNA from 1 species
GACGUAGGGCGCGAGCGUUGUCCGGAUUUAUUGGGCGUAAAGAGCUCGUAGGCGGCUUGUCGCGUCGUCUGUGAAAUCCCGCGGCUCAACCGCGGGUCUGUAGUCGAUACGGGCAGGCUAGAGUUCGGUAGGGGAGACUGGAAUUCCUGGUGUAGCGGUGAAAUGCGCAGAUAUCAGGAGGAACACCGGUGGCGAAGGCGGGUCUCUGGGCCGAUACUGACGCUGAGGAGCGAAAGCUAGGGGAGCAAACGGG